rnacentral:sRNA from 1 species
CAGUUUGGGUGGCUGAUGAAAACACUCUCAGCUAUUUGCAGUAUGCCAAAGGCCUGGAGCUAACGCUCAACUUAGGUACAGCUGUGUCUUUAUCAUAGGAUGUGUGUGCCUCAAGGACCCAAGAAACAGCCUUCCUAAAUGCAUG